AGAAAGUUAGUUUGACCAAAACAGUUGAUUUCGACUCAACAGACCAUAGCCUAAGCCUAUGACUUUCUC
rnacentral:tRNA from 1 species